rnacentral:rRNA from 1 species
CCUACGGGCGGCAGCAGUGGGGAAUAUUGGACAAUGGGGGCAACCCUGAUCCAGCCAUGCCGCGUGUGUGAAGAAGGCCCUCGGGUUGUAAAGCACUUUCAGUGAGGAAGAACGCCUGGUGGUUAAUACCCAUCAGGAAAGACAUCACUCACAGAAGAAGCACCGGCUAACUCCGUGCCAGCAGCCGCGGUAAUACGGAGGGUGCGAGCGUUAAUCGGAAUUACUGGGCGUAAAGCGCGCGUAGGUGGCUUGAUAAGCCGGUUGUGAAAGCCCCGGGCUCAACCUGGGAACGGCAUCCGGAACUGUCAAGCUAGGGUGCAGGAGAGGAAGGUAGAAUUCCCGGGGUAGCGGUGAAAUGGGUAGAGAUCGGGAGGAAUACCAGUGGCGAAGGCGGCCUUCUGGACUGACACUGACACUGAGGUGCGAAAGCGUGGGUAGCAAACAGGAUUGAUACCCUGGUAGUC